rnacentral:tRNA from 1 species
GACUAAGUAGCAUAGUGGUAAUGCAUGAGUCUGCAAAACUUGUUAUGAUGGUUCAAUUCCAUCCUUAGUCU